AUAAACAUGGUCUUCAUUCUGAUGCCUUAGAAUAGAAAGUGGCAUCCAAAAAUCGCAAAUUUGACCUAAAAAUUAGCUACAAGAAUUUGACCAAUACCAGCUUCCUCAAAGCUCGAUUACGGGAAGAAAGGCGAACAAAAGAGCCAGAGCGGGAGAGACAAACACAAACAGCCUAGCCAGUUACCGCUUAGGCGAAUUUUCGCAGCAAUGGGAAGUAAAGAGCGAGCCAAGGAAAGAAGAGAAAAGAGACGUCAAGAGAUUUCACUCCUCCGAACUAUUCCCUACUCCGAUCAUCAAAGGUGGUGGUCCUCAGAAACUGUUGCUGUGGUGACCGGUGCUAAUAGAGGAAUAGGAUUUGAGAUUGUAAGACAACUUGCAGACCAUGGAUUGACAGUUGUAUUGACAUCAAGAGAAAGUAGCGCUGGCCUUGAAGCUGUUAAUGUCUUGCAAGAGUCAGGUCUGAGUGUGGUCUUCCAUCAACUUGAUGUCUUAGAUUCUUUGUCUAUCAAACAGUUUACUGAAUGGAUACAACAAACCUAUGGUGUUAUUGAUAUUCUGGUGAACAAUGCCGGUGUGAAUUACAACACGGGGUCUGAUAAUUCUGUUGAAUUUGCUCGUAUGGUUAUUGAUACCAACUAUUAUGGCACUAAAAAUGUGACUAAAGCUAUGAUUCCUUUGAUGAGGUCUUCUACUGCAGGUGCUCGUAUUGUUAAUGUGAGCUCACGGCUGGGUAGAAUAAAUGGCAGACGAAAUAGAAUUGAAGAUGCAACUUUGAGAGAACAAUUAACUGACAUUGAAACACUAUCAGAAGAACUCAUUGAAAGGACUCUAUCUAAUUUCCUACAGCAAGUGGAAGAGGGCACUUGGACAUCAGGUGGGUGGCCUCAGACAUUCACUGACUACUCGGUGUCAAAACUUGCGGUUAAUGCUUUCACUAGGUUGAUGUCAAAGGAACUGUCAGACCGGCCUGAAGAUCAGAAGAUCUAUGUCAACUGCUACUGUCCAGGUUGGGUAAAGACUGCCAUGACGGGUUGGGCUGGUAAUAUAUCAACGGGGGAUGCAGCUGACACUGGAGUAUGGCUUGCCCUGCUUCCAGAUAUGUCCGUGUCAGGAAAAUUUUUUGCAGAGAGGCGGGAAAUAAAGUUUUGAGGCAAUCCUAUGAUACCUAUUACUUGGUCUUUGACUGUGAACCAAUUCUUAUGUCCUUGAUUGAGAACAGAUCUGCAACAUUCAUAGGGGGAAAGCUUAAAUCCUGUGAGGGGGUAAUCCUUGUAUUUUCCAACAAGGGGAUGUGCCUUGCAGAUUCUACUCAUACGAGUGAAAGCAGGCUAUUUCACUAUUGGAAUCUACAAGGGUAUGGCGAGAUCUUUAAAAUUUUAAAUUUCCAUUGAAAAUCAUGAUAUGUUAAUUAACAUUUUGUGAGCACAUGAUUGCCCUCAAACGCCCAAUCAUCUGAGAUUUAAACCUUGAUUAAGUUGAGUCUUCCCCAUCAGGUUUUUAUUUUAUUUUAUUUUUAAUUUUUCCCUUAUUGUUACCAUGCAAUUUUUAAGCAUGGGAUUUGUGGUCUUAGUUUGUACAUGAUGCACGUGUAUGCAAUCUGUUUCUGUGCUAUGAGAAUUUGCCCCAAAUUCAGAUUGAUUUGC
rnacentral:misc_RNA from 1 species